UGGACAGGACCGGCCUACCAUUACCAGCUACUCUCUUCUUUGUAGCUGACUUCUCUCCACUUUGAGUCGUCUAUGCCAGCUACAAUUGUUCAACAGUCAUAUGGAGCGCGUGUUCAUCCAAAUUUCUGCACAAACCCCAUUAUAUAGAGAGAGACCAAGAAGCAGCAGGGUGACAAUCAAUAGGACAAAGAGAGUGGCGAGCGCAACAGCCUUCGUUUUGCCAUAUAGAUCAUGGCUUGGAGGUGCCACAUGGACAUGGUUCUUCUGCUCGUUAUACUGGAGAUCAUUCUGCUCAUUGCGACGGCGCCCCGAGGGCUGGCGGAUUCGUGUGCCCGUGGGUUUGGAUGUCACCAAGGUGAUCCUGACUGGCCCGGAUGUGUUUGCCGCACAAGACUUUGUACUUGCGGCCGUUAAUCAAGACUGUACUUCCCUCAAAAAAUAUAUCAAGAUUGUAUUUUAUAUGUUUAGGGCGCUAGCGCCGAUCAGAUACAAAGUCUAACAUUCCCCCCUGUCGAAAGAAGAUCUAGUGUCCCCGCAAAGAAAGAAAGAAAGAAGAUCUAGUGUGGCUGGUUAAAGUUCAUCAUGUUUGUUGUACAAAGAUCAGCCCGCUGGCAUAUGUUUGAGUCCUAGAUAGAGUUUUGUUUCAGUUUUGAAUUCUGUUUAGGGAGGAGUACUCCUGUAAAAUGGCUUUUAACAGGUCUAGGUUGCAUCGUCUUUUUUUAUCACCCGGGCUGCAUGUUGUAAGGACCAAACCUGUUAGGUUUUGACUCUCCGUGCUUACCGUGCCUGUCACUGGAUUGAUUCGCCAGCAUACACGAUACCAAUGAAAUACCAACACAAAAUUAUCCUAUUCUAUUACAACGCAUGAUCCAGAAUACACAGUCUAAUACAAAUUGCUUUGCCCAAAGCUAGCUCAUCAAAGUAAAUAAAGUUAACAAUGAAAGUCUCAUCCGAUGCUAGAGGCGAAAUGUGUAGAGUGGAGACUAGCAAACCUACGCACCCUUACUCUUUGUGAAAUACACCUACAACAUAAUACGCUGCAGCCAGAAGGGCUCAAUCAGUAGGUGGAGGGAAUUUUGGCCUGUGCCACUAGUGAAGUCGGAUAUUCAACGGCUGCCACUCGAACUUCACGAGUUCGGUCUAUGCCACUACCACUUGCGGAAAAAUUAGUUACAUGCCCUCAGCGCCGUGCCGGCCAGUUGCCGUCUCCUUUGGGUUAGCUUACAUUCGGGACCCACCACUUCGUCAUAUCAGCUGUAGUUGAUGUACAUGCGUCCCGGAAUGCAUGAUUUAUCAUUUAGUUUUUUUCUCUAUAUGUGUGUUGUGUAAAGAGUACUUUUCUGGUGAUUUAAUACAUCAUUUUGGUGUGGUUGCAACCUUGGCCUGCAGCAACCGAUGAUCUCUCAUGUAUGACCAGGCAACCUGUGUAUAUGG